GACGAACGCUGGCGGCGUGCCUAAUACAUGCAAGUCGAACGCAGUGGGGACGGGUGAGUAACACGUGGGUAACCUCCCAUCAGAGGGGAGAACACUUGGAAACAGGUGCUAAACCGAUCCUGAUGGAUGAACCCGCGGUGCAUUAGCUAUUUGGUGAGUGAACGGCUCACCAAGGCCACGAUGCAUAGCAGACCUGAGAGGGGGAUCGUACACACUGGGACUGAGAAACGGACCAGACUCCUACGGGAGGCAGCAGUAGGGAAUCUUAGGCAAUGGAAGAAAGUAUGACCGAGCAACGCCGCGUGAGUGAAGAAGGGUUUCGGAUCGUAAAACUCUGUUGUUAGAGAAGCGGUAUCUAACCAGAAAGCCACGGCUAACUACGUGCCAGCAGCCGCGGUAAUAC
rnacentral:rRNA from 1 species